rnacentral:rRNA from 1 species
GACGAACGCUGGCGGCGUGCUUAACACAUGCAAGUCGAACGGAAAGGCCCUGCUUUUGUGGGGUGCUCGAGUGGCGAACGGGUGAGUAACACGUGAGUAACCUGCCCUUGACUUUGGGAUAACUUCAGGAAACUGGGGCUAAUACCGGAUAGGAGCUCCUGCUGCAUGGUGGGGGUUGGAAAGUUUCGGCGGUUGGGGAUGGACUCGCGGCUUAUCAGCUUGUUGGUGGGGUAGUGGCUUACCAAGGCUUUGACGGGUAGCCGGCCUGGGAGGGUGACCGGCCACAUUGGGACUGAGGUACGGCCCAGACUCCUACGGGAGGCAGCGGUGGGGAAUAUUGCACAAUGGGCGGAAGCCUGAUGCAGCAACGCCGCGUGCGGGAUGACGGCCUCGGGUUGUAAACCGCUUUCGCCUGUGACGAAGCGUGAGUGACGGUAAUGGGUAAAGAAGCACCGGCUAACUACGUG